rnacentral:rRNA from 1 species
UGGGGAAUUUUGGACAAUGGGCGAAAGCCUGAUCCAGCAAUGCCGCGUGCAGGAAGAAGGCCUUCGGGUUGUAAACUGCUUUUGUACGGAACGAAAAGGCUCUUUCUAAUAAAGAGGGCCCAUGACGGUACCGUAAGAAUAGGCACCGGCUAACUACGUGCCAGCAGCCGCGGUAAUACGUAGGGUGCGAGCGCUAAUCGGAAUUACUGGGCGUAAAGCGUGCGCAGGCGGUUCUAUAAGACAGAUGUGAAAUCCCCGGGCUCAACCUGGGAAUGGCAUUUGUGACUGUAGAGCUAGAGUACGGUAGAGGGGGAUGGAAUUCCGCGUGUAGCAGUGAAAUGCGUAGAUAUGCGGAGGAACACCGAUGGCGAAGGCAAUCCCCUGGACCUGUACUGACGCUCAUGCACGAAAGCGUGGGGAGCAAACAGGAUUAGAUACCCCCGUAGUCCCUGAGCGGGCUGGCAAGGCGCAU